rnacentral:tRNA from 1 species
GUCCCUGUAGCUUAACACUAAAGCACGACACUGAAGCUGUCAAGAUGGCUGCCCCAAUGCACCCAAGGACA